rnacentral:rRNA from 1 species
CAGCAGCCGCGGUAAUACGUAGGGUGCAAGCGUUAAUCGGAAUUACUGGGCGUAAAGCGUGCGCAGGCGGUUCGGAAAGAAAGAUGUGAAAUCCCAGAGCUUAACUUUGGAACUGCAUUUUUAACUACCGGGCUAGAGUGUGUCAGAGGGAGGUGGAAUUCCGCGUGUAGCAGUGAAAUGCGUAGAUAUGCGGAGGAACACCGAUGGCGAAGGCAGCCUCCUGGGAUAACACUGACGCUCAUGCACGAAAGCGUGGGGAGCAAACAGGAUUAGAUACCCUGGUAGUCCACGCCCUAAACGAUGUCAACUAGCUGUUGGGGYYUAUUARCCUUAGUAGCGCAGCUAACGCGUGAAGUUGACCGCCUGGGGAGUACGGUCGCAAGAUUAAAACUCAAAGGAAUUGAC